UACGUAGGGGGCGAGCGUUGUCCGGAAUCAUUGGGCGUAAAGCGCGUGUAGGCGGCCCGGUAAGUCCGCUGUGAAAGUCCAGGGCUCAACCCUGGGAUGCCGGUGGAUACUGUCGGGCUCGAGUCCGGAAGAGGCGAGUGGAAUUCCUGGUGUAGCGGUGAGAUGCGCAGAUAUCAGGAGGAACACCAAUGGCGAAGGCAGCUCGCUGGGACGUGACUGACGCUGAGACGCGAAAGCGUGGGGAGCAAACAGG
rnacentral:rRNA from 1 species